CCUACGGGAGGCAGCAGUGGGGAAUAUUGCACAAUGGGCGAAAGCCUGAUGCAGCAACGCCGCGUGAAGGAUGAAGGCUUUCGGGUCGUAAACUUCUUUUGUCAGGGAAGAUAAUGACAGUAUUUCAGGAGUAAACCCCGGCUAACUCCGUGCCAGCAGCCGCGGGAAUACGGAGGGGGCUAGCGUUAUCCGGAAUUACUGGGGGUAAAGAGCGCGUAGGUGGGUUUGCAAGGCAGAGGUGAAAUCCUAAGGCUUAACCCUAGAAAUGCAUUUGAAACUGGUAAUCUUGAGUACGGGAGAGGAAGGUGGAAUUCCUAGUGUAGCGGUGAAAUGCGUAGAUAUUAGGAGGAACACCAGUUGCGAAGGCGGCCUUCUGGACAGUAACUGACGCUGAGGCGCGAAAGCGUGGGGAGCAAACAGGAUUAGAUACCCGUGUAGUC
rnacentral:rRNA from 1 species